rnacentral:piRNA from 1 species
UGGAAAGCAUUAUAGAAACCUGGC